GACGAACGCUGGCGGCGUGCUUAACACAUGCAAGUCGAACGGAAAGGCCCGGCUUGCAGGGUACUCGAGUGGCGAACGGGGGAGUAACACGUGGGGGAUCGGCCCUGCACUUCGGGAGAAGUCUGGGAAACGGGGUCUAAUACCGGAUAGGAGCCAUUUUGAGUGUGAUGGGGGGAAAGUUGUUUCGGUGUGGGAUGAGCUCGCGCCCUAUCAGCUUGUUGGUGGGGUAAGGGCCUACCAAGGCGGGGCGGGGUGGCCGGCCUGAGAGGGUGGACGGCCAAGUCGGACUUGGACUAGGACCCGGCCCCCACCGGGAGGGGGGGCAGGGGUGUGUUACACAUGGGCGUAAGCCUGAUGCAGCGACGCCGCGUCGGUGAUGACGGCCUUCGGGUUGUAAUCGCCUUUCGCUAGGGACGAAGCUUUUUGUGACGGUACCUAGAUAAGAAGCACCGGCUAACUCCGUG
rnacentral:rRNA from 1 species